UACGAAGGGUGCAAGCGUUACUCGGAAUCACUGGGCGUAAAGCGUGCGUAGGCGGUUCGUUAAGUCUGCUGUGAAAGCCCUGGGCUCAACCUGGGAACUGCAGUGGAUACUGGCGGACUAGAGUGUGAUAGAGGAUGGUGGAAUUCCCGGUGUAGCGGUGAAAUGCGUAGAUAUCGGAAGGAACACCUGUGGCGAAAGCGGCUCACUGGACCAUUACUGACGCUGAGGCACGAAAGCUAGGGGAGCAACAGG
rnacentral:rRNA from 1 species